rnacentral:pre_miRNA from 1 species
CGUGCACCUUAUUAAGCAGCUGAAGCUGCCAGCAUGAUCUGAUCUUUCGUUUACUGGCAACUUUGGAUACCUAAGAUCCAGAUCGUGCUGCGCAGUUUCACCUGCUAAUUGGAGCACAG